UGCCAUGGCCAGGCACUGAGGGCCAGCACAAGGGCACUUGCUGGUCCAGGGGCAACUUUGGGUUGCAAUCUAACAACAUAUUAAUUCUAACUUCUCCAUAUAAAAUGGAAAUCUGUUCUGAAUUUGCUGUAAGUUUCUAUGGAAGCUAACUGAGGACCCUAUAGUUGUUCAACAAAUGUUUGUUAUAUGAAAACAAAAGGGAA
rnacentral:lncRNA from 1 species